rnacentral:rRNA from 2 species
GACCUGGUGGUCAUGGCGAGGUGUCAAACACCCGAUCCCAUCCCGAACUCGGCCGUGAAAAGCCUCCGCGCCAAUGGUACUGCGUCUUAAGACGUGGGAGAGUAGGUCGCCGCCAGGUC